UACGUAGGGCGCAAGCGUUGUCCGGAAUUAUUGGGCGUAAAGAGCUCGUAGGCGGCCAGUUGCGUCCGCUGUGAAAUCCCGGGGCUUAACCCCGGGCGUGCAGUGGAUACGGGCUGGCUAGAGGCAGGCAGGGGAGAACGGAAUUCCCGGUGUAGCGGUGAAAUGCGCAGAUAUCAGGAGGAACACCGGUGGCGAAGGCGGGUCUCUGGGCCGGUACCGGACGCUGGAGGAGCGAAAGCGUGGGGAGCGAACAGG
rnacentral:rRNA from 1 species